rnacentral:rRNA from 1 species
GACGAACGCUGGCGGCGUGCUUAACACAUGCAAGUCGAACGGAAAGGCCCUGCUUUUGUGGGGUGCUCGAGUGGCGAACGGGUGAGUAACACGUGAGUAACCUGCCCUUGACUUUGGGAUAACUUCAGGAAACUCGGGCUAAUACCGGAUAGGAGCUCCUGCAGCAUGGUGGGGGUUGGAAAGUUUCGGCGGUUGGGGAUGGACUCGCGGCUUAUCAGCUUGUUGGUGGGGUAGUGGCUUACCAAGGCUUUGACGGGUAGCCGGCCUGAGAGGGUGACCGGCCACAUUGGGACUGAGAUACGGCGCAGACUCCUACGGGAGGCAGCAGUGGGGAAUCUUACACAAUGGGCGGAAGCCUGAUGCGACGACGCCGCGUGCGGGAUGACGGCCUUCGGGUUGUGAACCGCUUUCGCCUGUGACGAGGCGUGAGUGACGGUAAUGGGUAAAGAAGCACCGGCUAACUACGUG